rnacentral:rRNA from 1 species
UACAGAGGUCUCAACCGUUGUUCGGAUUCAUUGGGCGUAAAGGGAGCGUAGGUGGCGGGGUUAGUCAGGUGUGAAAUCUCGGGGCUCAACCCCGAAACUGCACUUGAUACUGCCUUGCUAGAGUACUGGAGAGGAGAUUGGAAUUUACGGUGUAGCAGUGAAAUGCGUAGAUAUCGUAAGGAAGACCAGUGGCGAAGGCGAAUCUCUGGACAGUUACUGACACUGAGGCUCGAAGGCCAGGGGAGCAAACGGG